rnacentral:rRNA from 1 species
ACGGGGGGAGCAAGCGUUGUUCGGAUUUACUGGGCGUAAAGGGCGCGUAGGCGGCCACCGCAAGUCGACUGUGAAAUCUCCGGGCUUAACUCGGAAAGGUCAGCCGAUACUGUGCGACUAGAGUGCAGAAGGGGCAACUGGAAUUCUCGGUGUAGCGGUGAAAUGCGUAGAUAUCGAGAGGAACACCUGCGGCGAAGGCGGCUACCUGGACAGAUACUGACACUGAGGCGCGAGAGCGUGGGGAGCAAACAGGA